AAAAAUAAAUUGUGAAUGUUUAGUAUAAUCAUUGGAGAAUGGCUGAUGAGUUUCUACCCGCACCAAAGCGCGGACUACUAAAUGAUUUUUAAACACA
rnacentral:ncRNA from 1 species